ensembl:lncRNA
AUUCUUUUAUUUUGUUCAGGAUAUUUGUAUGAAGAAGAAGAAGGUCAACCAGAGCAGUGACAACACUGGGUUUUUUCCUGUGAGGGAGUAUCCCACACUGAGCCAGACUGCUCAAUCAACCAGGACAAACCAAUGCAUCUCACUCCACAAACUUAAAAAUAGAAUGGAAAAGAAAAUGCAUUUCUAAAAAAAAUGUUACAUGUUUGUUUCAGGGGAGGGAUACAGUACAUUGGCCCAAACAAAGUAUCUAAUCUCAAAAUUUAAGUAAAGGAAAAACCACUUGGCAUAUUUCUUGACAUGCAGGUUUGUUGUACAGAACAGGUUUAUCCACUACUCCAAAUAACUCCACUGAAUAAAUCUCAAAUUACAUUUUACAUUUUAGUUCAAAGUGAGAGGAUGGCUGGCUUUGCUCAUCCAUUCAUAUGGAGGUGGCUGGCUUCACAUCUCCUUCAAGCUACUUCUAGACUGGUGUGUAAUAUGCUCUUCUCCUUACAGUCUGUGAAGACAGACACUGAGACAAUGAUCUGAAACCAUGGUGGUAUUUUAACAAACCGAUAUCUCUAAAGUGGCUAGAUAACUGCUGAGUGAAACCCUUAAGUACUGGAGUUCAGAUUUGAAUUCAAAAGGCCAACUGACUUUACCCAAUCCUCUAAUCUGGGUAACUUGUAUUGUGUAAUCUGUCCCACUGAGGUAAUCUACCAGGUCACCACAUGUACAUCAACAAACACAUUGGGAAUACCAAAUAAAUUGGAAAUACCAAAUAAAUUGUAUAAAAAAAACAACUGUAUUGAUUAUGUGCUCACUUAUUUCUUCAUCUCUCUCACUCUCGCUCUCUCUCUCUGGUCUGGUGGAUACAAAGACACACAGAAAGGCUGUCACCCACUCGAGCUACUCAGGCCUACUUAAGAGGCGCUUCAUCAAGCCGUGAGCUGGUAGAAAACGGUAACUGUCCAGUUUCAGUGGCCCCCACCAUUGGCUUUGGCAUGGAUCCGUUUACAUCCAGACGUGGAAUGCCAGGAAACGAGUUCGGUUAGUUCACAGUAGCUCAGACUCCAGUGUUAUGGGCUUCUGUGUGCUUCUGGCUGCUCUCCACGUCCGACAAGACAGGACAAGCCUUCUCUUGGUACUUCACCCUGGUUCAUUUAGUCACCUUUCGUCACGGUGUCUCCAGGUACUUUUUCUUUCACACACACACACACACACACACACACACACACACACUACACUCAGAGCUGUGGUCCCAUCCCUUCACAUCCGUUUCUUAUCUUCUCUUGGUGCCUCUGCUGUUCCUUUGGGUUCUGUAGAGAACACGGUCAGGAGAUCAAGCAGAGCCUGGCUAAUGUGCACUCCAAAUUCAUGGGAGUCCUGAGAGAGACAGACCACAGGCAGAAAAGACAGAGAGAGAGAGCGAGGGAUGGAGGAGGGAGAAAACAGGCAUCAGGGAUCAAAUACAGAGC